rnacentral:rRNA from 1 species
UACGUAGGGUGCAAGCGUUAAUCGGAAUUACUGGGCGUAAAGCGUGCGCAGGCGGUUUUGUAAGUCUGUCGUGAAAGCCCCGGGCUCAACCUGGGAAUUGCGAUGGAGACUGCAAGGCUUGAAUCUGGCAGAGGGGGGUAGAAUUCCAAGUGUAGCAGUGAAAUGCGUAGAGAUGUGGAGGAACACCGAUGGCGAAGGCAGCCCCCUGGGUCAAGAUUGACGCUCAUGCACGAAAGCGUGGGGAGCAAACAGG